rnacentral:rRNA from 1 species
GACGAACGCUGGCGGCGUGCUUAACACAUGCCAGUCGAACGGAAAGGCCCUGCUUUUGUGGGGUGCUCGAGUGGCGAACGGGUGAGUAACACGUGAGUAACCUGCCCUUGACUUUGGGAUAACUUCAGGAAACUGGGGCUAAUACCGGAUAGGAGCUCCUGCUGCAUGGUGGGGGUUGGAAAGUUUCGGCGGUUGGGGAUGGACUCGCGGCUUAUCAGCUUGUUGGUGGGGUAGUGGCUUACCAAGGCUUUGACGGGUAGCCGGCCUGAGAGGGUGACCGGCCACAUUGGGACUGAGAUACGGCCCAGACUCCUACGGGAGGCAGCAGUGGGGAAUAUUGCACAAUGGGCGGAAGCCUGAUGCAGCAACGCCGCGUGCGGGAUGACGGCCUUCGGGUGGGAAACCGCUUUCGCCUGUGACGAGGCGUGAGUGACGGUAAUGGGUAAAGAAGCACCGGCUAACUACGU